rnacentral:rRNA from 1 species
GCUCGGACCGCGACCCCAG